UACAGAGGCCCCGAGCGUUACCCGGAAUCACUGGGCGUAAAGGGUGUCCAGGCGGCCAUGUUAGUCGUUCGUAAAAUCCGUGAGCUUAACUUACGGUCCGCGAGCGAAACGGCAUGGCUAGAGAGCGCGAGAGGUACAGGGAACUCAUGGUGGAGGGGUGACAUCCGUUGAUAUCAUGGGGAACACCAAAGGCGAAGGCACUGUACUGGCGCGUUUCUGACGCUCACCCACGAAAGCCAGGGGAGCGAACGGG
rnacentral:rRNA from 1 species